GCCAGCCCGCUCAGAACUUAAAGGAAUUGACGGGGCCCGCACAAGCGGUGGAGCAUGUGGUUUAAUUCGAUGAUACGCGAGGAACCUUACCUGGGCUCAAAUGUAUGUUGACGUAUUCUGAAAGGGAUACUUCUUCGGACAAUAUACAAGGUGCUGCAUGGUUGUCGUCAGCUCGUGCCGUGAGGUGUCGGGUUAAGUCCCCAUAACGAGCGCAACCCCUACUGCUAGUUGCCAGCGGGUCAUGCCGGGGACUCUAGCGGAACUGCCAGCGUAAGCUGCGAGGAAGGUGGGGAUGACGUCAAAUCAGCACGGCCCUUACGUCCAGGGCUACACACGUGUUACAAUGGCCAGUACAGAGGGCAGCCACCCCGCGAGGGGGCGCUAAUCCUAAAAGCUGGUCCCAGUUCGGAUCGGAGUCUGCAACUCGACUUCAUGAAGCUGGAAUCGCUAGUAAUCGUGGAUCAGCCAAGCCGCGGUGAAUACGUUCCCGGGCCUU
rnacentral:rRNA from 1 species